rnacentral:rRNA from 1 species
UGGAAAGGUAAGCCGGAGAGGGUGACAGCCCCGUACGAGUAGAAAAGCUGACUGUUCUUGAGUAAGGCGGAGCACGAGAAAUUCUGUCUGAAAAUGGGGAGACCACUCUCCAAGGCUAAGUACUACUGAUUGACCGAUAGUGAACAAGUACCGUGAGGGAAAGGUGAAAAGCACCCCUAUAAGGGGAGUGAAAGAGAACCUGAAACCGGAUGCCUACAAGCAGUCGGAGGGUCUAUAAGGCCUGACGGCGUACCUUUUGUAUAAUGGGUCAGCGACUUAAUUUAUGUAGCAAGCUUAAGCCGAUAGGUGUAGGCGUAGAGAAAUCGAGUGUUAACAGCGCGUUAAGUUACAUGAAUUAGACCCGAAACCGAGUGAUCUAGCCAUGAUCAGGUUGAAGGUUGGGUAACACCAACUGGAGGACCGAACCCACUCCCGUUGAAAAGGUAGGGGAUGAAUUGUGGCUAGGGGUGAAAGGCCAAUCAAACUCGGAAAUAGCUGGUUCUCCGCGAAAACUAUUUAGGUAGUGCGGUGAGCGGACACCUUGAGGGGUAGAGCACUGGAAGAGCUAAGGGGGAGCGAUCCUUACUAAACUUUACCAAACUCCGAAUACUCAAGAGUGAUACUCACCAGACAGACAUUAGGUGCUAAGGUCUAGUGUCGAGAGGGAAAGAGCCCAGACCGCCAAUUAAGGUCCCAAAAUUAUGGCUAAGUGGUAAAGGAAGUGAAACGUCCAAAACAGUCAGGAGGUUGGCUUAGAAGCAGCCAUCCUUUAAAGAAAGCGUAAUAGCUCACUGAUCUAAACAAGACGUCUUGCGCCGAAGAUGUAACGGGGCUAAAGCCAUAUACCGAAGUUGCGGAUUUACACGUUAAAGUGUAAGUGGUAGCGGAGCGUUCUGUAAGCCUGCGAAGGUGUACCGUAAGGUAUGCUGGAGGUAUCAGAAGUGAGAAUGCUGACAUGAGUAGCGAAAAGAAGAGUGAGAGACUCUUCCGCUGAAAGUCCAAGGUUUCCUGCGUAAAGCUAAUCUGCGCAGGGUUAGUCGGUCCCUAAGGCGAGGCAGAGAUGCGUAGUCGAUGGCAAUCAGGUUAAUAUUCCUGAACCGGCCCGGAAGUGACGGAUUGAGUAAAUUGUAAGUUCUUAUUGGAUUGAGCUUGCAGUGAAUCAGUCCCAGGAAAUAGCCCGGGCUAAGACCGUACCCGAAACCGACACAGGUGGACAGGUAGAGAAUACCAAAGCGCUUGAGAGAACUAUGUUGAAGGAACUAGGCAAAAUACUUGCGUAACUUCGGGAUAAGCAAGCCCCAUUUUAAGGCAACUUAGGGUGGGGGGCACAUACUAGGGGGUAGCGACUGUUUACUAAAAACACAGGGCUCUGCUAAAUUGAAAGAUGAAGUAUAGGGUCUGACGCCUGCCCGGUGCUGGAAGGUUAAGGAGAGAUGUGCAAGCAUUGAACUGAAGCCCCAGUAAACGGCGGCCGUAACUAUAACGGUCCUAAGGUAGCGAAAUUCCUUGUCGGGUAAGUUCCGACCUGCACGAAUGGCGUAACGACUUCCCCGCUGUCUCCAACAUAGGCUCAGCGAAAUUGAACUCUGAGUUAAGAUGCUCAGUACCCGCGGUUAGACGGAGAGACCCCGUGAACCUUUACUAUAGCUUUGCAGUGGUAUUAGGUAACAAAUGUGUAGAAUAGGUGGGAUGCUAUGAAGCUACGACGCCAGUUGUAGUGGAGCAGACUUUGAAAUACCACCCUUUUGUUGUUUGAUAUCUAACCUGCUCCCGUUAUCCGGGAGAGGGACCCUGCAUGGUGGGUAGUUUGACUGGGGCGGUCGCCUCCCAAAGAGUAACGGAGGCGCGCAAAGGUUGGCUCAGAUUGGUCAGAAAUCAAUCGUCGAGUGCAAUGGCAUAAGCCAGCCUGACUGCGAGAGAGACAUUUCGAGCAGAUACGAAAGUAGGUCAUAGUGAUCCGGUGGUCCCGAGUGGAAGGGCCAUCGCUCAACGGAUAAAAGGUACUCCGGGGA